AUGCAAGUCGAGGGGCAGCACGGUGUAGCAAUACACUGGUGGCGACCGGCGCACGGGUGCGUAACGCGUAUGCAACCUACCCAUAACAGGGGGAUAACCGGGAGAAAUUCCGACUAAUACCGCAUACGUCCUCCGGGGGCAUCCCCGGGGGAUGAAAGAGUUAUCGGUGAAGGAUGGGCAUGCGUGAUAUUAGGUAGUUGGCGGGGCAACGGCCCACCAAGCCUACGAUAUCUAGGGGUUCUGAGAGGAAGGUCCCCACAUUGGUACUGAGACACGGACCAAACUCC
rnacentral:rRNA from 1 species